CCUUCGGGUGGGGAAUAACCCAGGGAAACUUGGGCUAACACCGCAUAAUGCAGCGGCACCAAAUGGUGAAUAGUUGUUAAAGCGGGGGACCCUUCGGGGCCUCGCGCCUGGAGAGGAGCCUGCGGCAGAUUAGCUAGUUGGUGAGGUAAUGGCUCACCAAGGCUUCGAUCUGUAGCUGGUCUGAGAGGACGGCCAGCCACACUGGCACUGACACACGGGCCAG
rnacentral:rRNA from 1 species